rnacentral:rRNA from 1 species
CUACUAUAAGACUGGGAUAACUUCGGGAAACCGGAGCUAAUACCGGAUUAAUAUUUCGAACCGCAUGGUUCGAUAGUGAAAGGUGGUUUUGCUAUCACUUAUAGAUGGACCCGCGCCGUAUUAGCUAGUUGGUAAGGUAACGGCUUACCAAGGCGACGAUACGUAGCCGACCUGAGAGGGUGAUCGGCCACACUGGAACUGAGACACGGUCCAGACUCCUACGGGAGGCAGCAGAU